GACGAACGCUGGCGGCGUGCUUAACACAUGCAAGUCGAGCGGAAACGCCCUUCGGGGUACUCGAGCGGCGAACGGGUGAGUAACACGUGAUUAACCUGUCCCAGACCUUGGCAUAACCCGCUGAAACGGGGGCUAAUUCUGGUUACGACACAGCUUUGCAUGGGUUCUGUGUGGACAGUUUUUCGGUUCUGGUUGGGCUUGUGACCUAUCGGCUUGUUGGUGGGGUGGUGGUCUACCAAGACGACGAGGGGUAGCCGUCCUGAGAGGGCGACAGGCCACACGGCGCCUGAGACACGACCCAGACUCGAACGGGAGGGGGGGGUGUAGUGUCGAGCAUGAUGGGCGGAAGCAUAAUGCGGCGACGCCGCGUGAGGGAAGUGGUCAUUCGGGUAGUAAUGUUCUGUCAGCAGGGACGAGACGUAAGUGACGGUACCUGCAGAAGAAGCGCCGGCCAACUACGUG
rnacentral:rRNA from 1 species